GGGGGGAAGGGGAAACGGCUUCGCCGUGGAGGAGAAAUGAAGACCAACCCACAGGACGGCGUGCUGCUCGUGGAGGAUGUCUCUCUGGUGCUUCCUCAGCUCUGCGUGGCCGUAGCUGAGCACACUGGGACUCCAGUGUUUCUUAGGAACUGAUUGGUGCAUGGUUGUAGUCGCGUCGUGCUUCCUAACUGAGCUCCACCAACUUCAAACCAGUGCAUUCCUCCAGCACAAUGUCCAAAACUGUUGUACCUUUGGCAAAGAGAAUGUGUUGAUGUAAGAGCCCGUCAUUAAGGACGACAAACGGCUUUUUCGCUGAGUGAUUUCACUGUUGUUCUCAUACGCACCAAAUCCCAUGAAGAGACCCAAACCAACAAUGUAUUGAUCCUACUCACAGGUAUUGUCUCUGCAUAUGCAUAAUGUCAACUCAGUAGGGAAGGUUUAUCUUAUGUAUUGUCCAAAACAUAUACAUGAUGUAGUGUUGGCUUGCCAAAA